UACGUAGGGUGCAAGCGUUAAUCGGAACUACUGGGCGUAAAGCGUGCGCAGGCGGUUGUGCAAGACAGAUGUGAAAUCCCCGGGCUCAACCUGGGAAUUGCAUUUGUGACUGUACGGCUAGAGUGUGUCAGAGGGGGGUAGAAUUCCACGUGGUAGCAGUGAAAUGCGUAGAGAUGUGGAGGAAUACCGAUGGCGAAGGCAGCCCCCUGGGAUAACACUGACGCCUCAUGCACGAAAGCGUGGGGAGCAAACAGG
rnacentral:rRNA from 1 species